CAACGGUGUCAGCGCGUAGCGCGACACGGGGAGCUUGAGUGUCUUGGCAUAGCCAAGACUUUUCUCAUUCCUAAAAAGCAUGAGGAAUAAGUGCUGGGUAAGACGGGUGCCAGCCGCCGCGGUAACACCCGCAGCACGAGUAGUGGUCACUUUUAUUGAGCCUAAAGCGUUCGUAGCCGGUUUUGUAAAUCUUCAGAUAAAGCCUGAAGCUUAACUCCAGAAAGUCUGAAGAGACUGCAAGACUUGAGAUCGGGUGAGGUUAAACGUACUUUCAGGGUAGGGGUAAAAUCCUGUAAUCCCGGAAGGACGACCAGUGGCGAAAGCGUUUAACUAGAACGAAUCUGACGGUAAGGAACGAAGGCUAGGGUAGCAAACCGGAUUAGAUACCCGGGUAGUCCUAGCUGUAAACAUUGCCCAUUUGAUGUUGCUUUUCCGUUGAGGGAAGGCAGUGUCGGAGCGAAGGUGUUAAAUGGGCCGCUUGGGAAGUAUGGUCGCAAGACUGAAA
rnacentral:rRNA from 1 species